AAAAAAAAAAAACGGAACAAGGUUUUCCAGACACACGAUCUUCUCUCAAUCUGACCAUCAAAGCCCCAAAAACAAACUCCUAUCCUAGUUAGAUCUAAACCGCCUGCAACCAAGCAAGAAUUUUGAUCUUCUAAUCCGUAUGAGCCCACAAUCCGGUACACUCCUUCGCAUCCCCUCUCCGAUGAGUGAGACCAGCAGCUCUGAUUGAAAACUUGAGAUAUGCCAGAGUACCCCGGCUCAAAGUUUCUACUGUGUUCGGGCUUCAUUGGGGCAAUUUCUCGAGCAAUUGGCGUGUAACCCUAAACUGGUUCUGAGAUCACGAGAGAUCAAAAGUCUAACCUUCAAUUUAUAUCUAGUCGUUCUUAUUUUCUUUCUUGUGUCUCAGGUACAAUUUACUUUGGGUUAAUUUGAUUGCUGGUUAAAAGGGAAUUGUAGUUUGGUUCAAUUUCUAUGAAUUUUGGUUGAGAUUUUUUAGUUUGAAUAAUGCGUUUUUCUGGUUUUCAUGUUGCCCCAUUUUCAAAUGCCUUGGGUUCCUAUAUAUAUGGAGUUUCGGAUUUCUCACUGGAACAACAUCACUGCAAGAAGGAAGUAUACCUUGGAGAGAAUGUUUGCAAACCAGCUACUCGAAUGUGCAAAAGAUCAAUUAUCAUUUAGGGCCGUGACUCAGAUCUCCAAUGCUGCAAAUUGUUCUCAUGUCAUAAAUACAAAUUCUUGGUCUGGCAGUGGUCAUGUUUGGCCACACUGGGCAAUACCAAACCAGUACCAAAGAUAGAUCUGCAUCCUGUCAUCAAGGUGCUAUUUUCCGAGUGCAGCAGCAGCACUGAGUCUCAACUAAGGUGUAUUAAUUUGAGAGGCAACUUCCAUCCUUGAAGAACAAGUGAACAACCAAUUGGAUAUUGCAGGUUCAAUUGAUGACAAACAUGCGAAAUUUCCACAUUAUUUGGAUGUAGAAAGCUACUUUACAUACUGUACAUGCCCAUAUCACUACUUUGAAUAAUAAAAUUUUUCUGACAUUAGAAUAUAAAUUUUUUGUGUAAACAUUUACAUCAGCUAUGAUGUUUAUUUGUUAUGAGUGAAAGGUACUUUUAAUACA